CUAGUCAUCUAUUUAAACCAUUGUUAACCCAACACAGGCAUGCAUCUAUAAGGAAAGAUUAAAAGAAGUAAAAGGAACUCGGCAAACACAAACCCCGCCUGUUUACCAAAAACAUCACCUCUAGCAUUUCCAGUAUUAGAGGCACUGCCUGCCCAGUGACAUCUGUUUAAACGGCCGCGGUAUCCUAACCGUGCAAAGGUAGCAUAAUCACUUGUUCCCUAAAUAGGGACUUGUAUGAAUGGCCACACGAGGGUUUCACUGUCUCUUACUUCCAAUCAGUGAAAUUGACCUUCCCGUGAAGAGGCGGGAGUAACUAAAUAAGACAAGAAGACCCUAUGGAACUUUAAUUAACUGAUUCACAAAAAACAACAC
rnacentral:rRNA from 1 species